rnacentral:rRNA from 1 species
AAUAGAUACCCCGGUAGUCCACGCCCUAAACGAUGUCAACUGGUUGUUGGUCCUUCACUGGAUCAGUAACGAAGCUAACGCGUGAAGUUGACCGCCUGGGGAGUACGGCCGCAAGGUUGAAACUCAAAGGAAUUGACGGGGGCCCGCACAAGCGGUGGAUCAUGUGGUUUAAUUCGAAGCAACGCGAAGAACCUUACCUGGAUUUGACAUCCUCUGACAACCCUAGAGAUAGGGCUUUGGUAGCAAUACCACAGAGAGACAGGUGCUGCAUGGCUGUCGUCAGCUCGUGUGGUGACAUGUUGGGUUAAGUCCCGCAACGAGCGCAACCCUUGUCUUUAGUUGCCAGCAUUAAGUUGGGCUCUCUAAAGAGACUGCCGUGGUUAACACGGAGGAAGGUGGGGAUGACGUCAAGUCCUCAUGGCCUUUAUAUCCAGGGCGACACACGUGAUACAAUGGAUGGUACAGAGGGACGCGAAACGGCGACGUGGAGCUAAUCUCAAAAAACCAUUCUCAGUUCGGUAUUGGAGU